UUCCGAUACGAACGAGACUCUCCCCUGCUAACUAGUCGGUUGGAUCUUUUCGGUGAGUUGUGUGCCGGGAUCACCUCGAGCCGUGGUCUGCGUGGGGCUGCUGCCGGUUCACCUCACGGUGCUCUUCCGGUGGUUUGUC
rnacentral:rRNA from 1 species